GAUGAACGCUGGCGGCGUGCCUAAUACAUGCAAGUCGAGCGAACAGAUAAGGAGCUUGCUCCUUUGACGUUAGCGGCGGACGGGUGAGUAACACGUGGGUAACUUACCUAUAAGACUGGAAUAACUCCGGGAAACCGGGGCUAAUGCCGGAUAACAUGUUGAACCGCAUGGUUCUACAGUGAAAGGCGGCUUUGCUGUCACUUAUAGAUGGACCCGCGCCGUAUUAGCUAGUUGGUGAGGUGACGGCUCACCAAGGCAACGAUACGUAGCCGACCUGAGAGGGUGAUCGGCCACACUGGAACUGAGACACGGUCCAGACUCCUACGGGAGGCAGCAGUAGGGAAUCUUCCGCAAUGGGCGAAAGCCUGACGGAGCAACGCCGCGUGAGUGAUGAAGGUCUUCGGAUCGUAAAACUCUGUUAUGAGGGAAGAACAAAUGCGUAAGUAACUGUGCGCGUCUUGACGGUACCUAAUCAGAAAGCCACGGCUAACUACGUG
rnacentral:rRNA from 1 species